UCUCACCCAUGGUAUCUAAUGUCUAGUUUUUAUGUAUUUGUAACUAGACAUUUCGUUUUAAGGGUGGAUAAAAAUGUUAACAGGUCUUGCGACACAGUUAGCUUCUUUCUAUCACAAGCUUUCUGUUACUAAAUCCCUGGUCACAUUU
rfam:Gossypium raimondii chromosome 11, whole genome shotgun sequence.